GGGAGUUGGAGAUGCUCCGCAUGUAGUAGUUGUGGCAGACGAUGCACAUCACUGCCAUGUUGCCCAUGAUGCCGAUGCCGAAGAUCACCACGGAGAGGCACAUCACGGCGUAGGCUCCGUACGACUCCUCGGCUGAAAUUCUUGCCUUCUAUAGCAUUGUUCCAAUUUGCCAGCAUCUGUUAAUGAGGACAUAGUAUAAAUCCACUUGUAAUGUCAGCAGGUCAUUGAGGAGAAGAGGCUGUCAGGGACGCCAGCUCUUCUGUCACUGGUCUUAUGAAUCACAGAUGUCCUGGACCACACAAGGCUUCUGAGAGCAUUGCCUCAUAGGUUAGCUCAAGCCACCCACCUGAGCAUUGCUUAAAACAAGGAGUUGCUCUUUCUUAACCACUGGCAGGGAAGGCUUUAGCUGGAGCCAGGAAGUAGAGCACAACGCAAACUGCCAGCUUGUUAGCAGGAGGAUCCUGACUUCAUUGAAGGCUUUGGAUUAAUGACUUCAGACAGACAGAUGUGAGACUCUUAGGCCAUGUGUGGGGGAGAGGGGUUCUCUUUGGAGGGCCCUGGAGUACUCUUGGUGGUAAUAUUCCCUGAAAAAUGCAAGGCAGUAACAGAGCAGCUGUGAAGGGAGGCUGGCAAAAUGGAAGGAAGAAUAUAAAUAUUGCAGAUGUCUGUGUGGGGAUGUAAUGCACAGCAGCUACUCUGAGUCCAUCCAAAAACCCUGUGCUUUCUUUAUGUUCGCUGUAUAAAUUUUGAGCUAAAAUGGGUUUCCAACAUCUGCGUACAGUAACGUUACCAAUGUAUGGUUGUUAAUGGCAGUGAUCUGAGUUUCCCAUGAGCCUUUGCUGCAGGAGAAUGGAUAUCUUCGGGGUAGAAAAUUUUAUAAAACACCAGAUCUGUCACAGCAAAUCCGUCAGGAUUAUUUCCUGCACACUAGCUUUCCUGCUAUGCUAUCAAAAAUAAAUAAUAUAAAGUAAAAUCUAAACAUCUUCAUCAAGCACUUAUAAAUUAGGGGAUACCCUCCGGGGCACAAGUCACAGUAUGUGCAUUUUAUAAUAAAAUAUUUACAUAUUCUGGGACAGCUGUAUAGUAGAAGAGAGUAUGAUAUUAAGCAGCAUUUGGAAUGUAAUUGUGCACAUAGAAGAGCAAAUAGAAAUGUUAUAGAGUAUUUCAUAGUGUGGUUAUAAAAAUAUUAUGGGAAUAUAAAAAUGCAUAACACUAACAUCCUAAAAUCUAGUUA